UCCGGGCGAGUUCUCGCGAGAUUUGGGCGCUUCCGCGGGCGGGUGUCUCUGGGUCUCCUGGAGGCGCGGCAGCGAGAGACGUUUGGACGGCGCGGGGCUCCGAGCCUCCAGUAGCGAGCCUGGUCCUCAGCGAGAAGCUUGGUUGUGAACAGUUCUAGAGCGAGCGACCUCCGUCUGUCAGGAUCUAAAUUAGGUGAGCGGAGGCAGGGCUGGGUUCCCUGGGCCAGCACUACAGCUUUCUGCACCUGGAGUCGGCGGGAGGUGAGCCCCAGCAGCCAGGAGAGCAGGACCCUCCCUCCUGACCUCACCCUGGAGCCGUGUGGGCCCUCCUGGCUUAGCCCAGCUGUCCCAGGAUGGGGCUUAGUCUGUUUUCCGAUGGGCUUUCAUUUCAAGGUGUUCCUGUGAGGGUAAGAACCUGGGUCUCCCCCUAUUGGGAGCAUGGCCCUGCUCGUGUCACCUGCCCUGUUUCCACACCUGCAGGAUUAUCUGCCCUUGGAAGUGCUUUCUCCUUGCUGGUUGUGUGACCGGGGGCAAUUCUUUACCCUCUGUGUGCCAGUUUUCUCAUUUUAAAAUGGGGAUAACAAUACUGCCUGCCCAUGAAGUGCUCAGAACAAGUGCUGGGAAUGGGCUGUUUCUCCUGGCUGCUGUAAUUGUCAUUGAGGGUCCUGGACCCUAGCUGAAGAAAGCAUCUCACCCGUAGGCCCGUCUGUUACAAGGUCUGUCCCUUGGGGCCUCCUCCGGGCCCAUAUCUGUGUGCCAGGCCUUAGAGCCUGGCAUCUGAUAGGCCUGGCUGAAGAUCCUGGGCAAGCUGUGCACCUGUGGCCAAAUUCCCUCACCUCUUUGAGCCUCAGUUUCCUCAUCUGUAAGAUGGGGGUGACAACAGAAGCCCCCUUCCUUGUGGGCAGGCAGAGCACCCGGGUGCUCACCCACAGGUUCCCCCCAAACCUGCCGGCCCUGAGGGAACCCUUUGCCUGGAGAACAGGAGUAGAGAUCUGGCGGAUGAGGCCAAAGUGUUCCCAGGCUGGGAGGUGACAGGCAGCAGGCUGUGCGGCUGUCACACACACACACACAGCCCUGUCAGCUGUAGGACCAAGAUGGCCAGAUCAUGGAGUGUGCCUGAGCCCGUGCGUGUCAUGAUGGCACCCGAGGGCAGGUGGCCCCUCAGAGCCCAGUGUCCGCCCUUGGAGCACAGGCCCACCCCUGCAACCGGGCAGCUCUCAGUGCACACCCCGGCCGGGAGACUGGGAGGCCACCUUUAUUCGGCCAGGAGUGGCCUUGUGUGCAAUUUACAGAGCUCCUUCCCGUACCGGGACCGCCAGCAUCGCCAGGGCCCCCGGGCCAGCACCAUCCCCACACCUCUGAGUGUGUGAGGCCAGUGACACUGGCUGCGUGGCGGAUGGCCGGGGUACGGAUGCCAGGUGGGGGCCGGGAGUGAGCUUGGCCUUAGACCUUCCACAUGGAGGGCUGGGAUGCCCAAUGGGAAUCCUAGCCCACUGAGAGGCGUCCCAGGUGCCUCCGGAGCCCACGGCCCUGCUAGGAGAGCACAGGUGCGAGGGGGGUGCUCCAGGCCCCCUGGGGACCAAGGACCCCUGUCCCGGCCUGGACGUCCACCCAGGGAGGGGAAGCUGCCGGAAAAGAAAACGUGCGGGCAGGACCUUCUUCCCCAGAGCCCCACUGGUGGGGCCCUCUGCUGUAUGCCCACGUGCCCCUUCCGCAUCUGAGUGAGAAGACCUGUUCCCAUCUGCCCCCCCUGCCCCUGCUCUGCUCAAGGAAUCCUGAGAGGAAACAGCCUCCCCCAGGGAGGGUCCUGGAGUGAGCCUGACCCCAAAUGAACUCUGGGGCCAGGAAGCAUGAAUAUAAAUAUAUAUGCUGUGUGUAUAUAUUAUAUAAACGUAUCUGUAUAUGUAUAUAUGUACAUGCACAUCACGAGGGCCGGGGGCCGCCGUGCCCCAGGACGGGGGCUUCUCCGCCUGGUCCAGGACUAGCCUGGCUCCUCCCCAGAAGCAUGGUCACCCGGGCACCUCGAAAAGCCUCUGACCGGGCGGCCAGGGGGCCACAGCCAUCACUUGAGGUCGAGUGUCCAGGUGUUCGAGACGUAGAGGGACUGGGUGUGGCGGGCGCGGCGGGGCGUGGUGUUGAGGGCGUCCACACUCCUGCGGCUGGAGCGCACCACGUCCGCCACAAAGCCGGUGCAGUCGCUGCAGACAUCCUUCAGGACGCAGCCGUGAGUGUAGAUGUGCGGGAACUCCUCCUCCACGCUCCGCCAGUGGGGCCCCUGCAGGGGUCUGGGGCAGGACGGGGCCGUCAGGGGUCCUCCCGAGUCUCCACAUCCCCCCGCGCCCACAGCAGGCAGAGCAAAGUCCAUCCCGCAGCAGCUCUUCCUUGGGCGGAAUUUGGGUCCUGGGCUCUGACCUCUCAGCCCCAGCCCACCCCAGCACACAGGCCCCCGCCCAGCUUCCAGGUGACUGUGAUGCCUGCCCACCACAGGGACGUCACCAAGGGCAGGCACGCACUGGAAGGCGUCUCUUCUCUGCGCCGGCGAGGCUUUGGCGGUUGACACCCUCUGAGGACUCUCGAAGCCCAGCGUGUACACGGGGAUGUGUGCAAACUUCUUAGACGGCAUCUUCAUCUGCAACACAGAGAGACACUCCAGGCACCUUGGUCCCCCCGAACAGCCGCCAACACACAACAUGGAGCACUGCGGCCUGAACUGCAGACAGCUCUGGAGAGAAAAGAAGAGGGUUAGCAGUGUCAGCUGUGAGGGGUCCAGCACCCGCCCAGCACAGGCGAGGCCAGGCUGUCACUGCCUCCUGCUUGACCCCUGGCCACGUCAGUGCUUUACUUUCAUUUUACUCCCAAAUCUUGCUUUUCUUCUUGCUCAGCUCUACACCCCAAAUCCUUCUGCCCCUCCUCACCCUUUCUGGGGAGCAUCUGGUCUGGAGUGGAGGGUACCUGACCCCUCUCCACAAGCACCGUCAGAGCCAGACGCCCUCAAGUGAGAUGCCCAGCUUUAAGCAGUGAUUAACAGUUUUUAUUUCCCAUACAUGAUUUCAAAAGUAAAUGCCUUCUUGCUGUAAAAAUUCAAACACUAGAGAGAAUUUUAAUUUAGACAGGAGUCCUCUCCUGUAAAGCCCAUCCUAGAGAUGAUCCCUACUAUCAGCAGUUUCCAUUCUCCAUAUCUAAGCAUAAAUUAACAAAAACAUACAUUUAAAAUAAAAAUACAAUAAAUGAAAUGGGGUAUCAUGUGUACUAUCCUAUAAAGAUACACCAGGGCUCUUCUCCACAUCAGUACAAAUUGUCCAAAUUCAUUUUUUAAAACAAGGGACCAUGCACUCUUGCAUGGAUGUCCCAUAAUUAAUUCGCCAUCAACGAACCUCUGUUAUUAGUUUGAUUUUAUUUUACUGUAGUCAGGGAACAUACUUUGUAUGAUAUCAAUCCUUCCACAUUUUUGAGACUUGUUUUUUGACCCAGAAUAGUCAAUUUUGGUGAACGUUCCGUGUGCACUUGAUAAGAACAUACAUCCCACUGUUCGGUCUAGUUUCUCUAAAUGUCACUUAGAUCAAGUUGGUGAUAGUGUCAUUCAAAUCUCCCUUAGGGUUUCACAUCUCUAACUGUAACCAUGGAUUUAGCUAUUUUUCCUUGCAGCCUGUCAAUGUUUUGUUCCAUGUAUAUUGAAUCUCUUGCUAGGUGUGGAAAAUGUUCAGGAUUAUUUCCUCCUUUUAUCAUUAUGAAAUGAACUCCUUUAACUCUGAUAAUAUUCUUUACUCCAUAGUCUACUUUGUAUUGUAUUAAUAUAUCGACUCAAGCUUUCUUUAGACUACUGUUGGUGUGGUGUAUCUUUCUCCACCCAUCUCCCUCCAACCAGUUUGUGUCUUUUAUUUAAUGUACAUGUCUUGGGAAUUCCAUGGCGGUCCAGUGGUUAGGACUCCAUGCUUGGGUUUGCAGGGGGCUUGGGUUUGAUCCCCGGUUGGGGAACUAAGAUCCUGCAAGCCAUGCAGCAUAGCCAAAAAAUAAAAUAAAAUAAAAA